rnacentral:rRNA from 1 species
UACGGGGGAUGCAAGCGUUAUCCGGAAUCAUUGGGCGUAAAGCGCCUGUAGGUUGUUUAGUAAGUUUGUUGUUAAAGACUAGGGCUUAACCCUAGAAAAGCAAUGAAAACUGCUAGACUAGAGUAUGGCAGGGGUAGAGGGAAUUUCUAGUGUAGCGGUGAAAUGCGUAGAUAUUAGAAAGAACACCGGUGGCGAAAGCGCUCUACUGGACCAUUACUGACACUCAGAGGCGAAAGCUAGGGUAGCAAAAGGGAUUAGAUACCCCUGUAGUCCUAGCCGUAAACGAUGGAUACUACAUGUUGUGCAUAUGUACAGUAUGGUAGCUAACGCGUUAAGUAUCCCGCCUGGGGAGUACGCUCGCAAGGGUG